GCUUACGGCCAUACCAACCUGGCUAUGCCCGAUCUCGUCUGAUCUCGGAAGCUAAGCAGGUUUGGGCCUGGUUAGUACUUGGAUGGGAAACCACCUGGGAAUACCAGGUGCUGUAAGCU
rnacentral:rRNA from 1 species